CCGUAUUAGUUAGGUUGUUUGUCAUAAAACCUCCAUUGCCAAGGCUAAAUAAUGUAACUUCAAACAACUCCGAGCUCUAAGGUUCUAAAAUUAUCAGAGCAGCAUUUCAAGUGCAUCUACUCCAUUUUCUGAAUUUUCAUGAUGAAGAUAUCUAAUUUUUGUUCGGUGUGCAUUUUUUGAUGGGUAUUGCUUUAACAAGAGGAAGAAAACAUCUUCUUUGAUACUAGAUUAGGCGAUUUUUCGCGAGGAACAACUUGAUCGAGAGGCGACAGCUUUACACAAUUAUGCACAUUAAUGUCAAGAUAAGAAUUCAAAAUAAAAUGUUAAAUUAAACAAUUCUCUUAGAGAUAUAUACAUAUAAAACAUACGAAUAAAAUGUAUAAACUGCUGAAUUAUCAUUAUAAUAUUAUUUUUCUGGAGAGCAUUCACAAACAAACCUGUGUGAGUCGUGUUAUAAAACAAAGGAUUUUUUAAAUAAAAGCAAAUGGCUCGAACUCUAUAUAAGCUCUGAGUUUGCUGAAAAACAACUAGUAAUAUGUUAUUUUAGCUUAUGGAAAUGUUCUUUUUUAUUUUUUUUUAAAGAUAUUUCAUUUCUCUUCCUAUUCGUAAUCAUGAAAUGAUGUUCUGCUGCAUUUAAAGAUGCUUACGUAGAGUCUCGCGGUAGCUUUAUAAUUAUAAUAAAUGUAUUAUAUGUU